rnacentral:rRNA from 1 species
GUGGGGAAUAUUGGACAAUGGGCGAAAGCCUGAUCCAGCCAUGCCGCGUGUGUGAAGAAGGUCUUCGGAUUGUAAAGCACUUUAAGUUGGGAGGAAGGGCAGUAAGUUAAUACCUUACUGUUUUGACGUUACCGACAGAAUAAGCACCGGCUAACUUCGUGCCAGCAGCCGCGGUAAUACGAAGGGUGCAAGCGUUAAUCGGAAUUACUGGGCGUAAAGCGCGCGUAGGUGGUUUUGUAAGUUGGAGGUGAAAUCCCCGGGCUCAACCUGGGAACUGCCUCCAAAACUGCAUGACUAGAGUACGGUAGAGGGUAGUGGAAUUUCCUGUGUAGCGGUGAAAUGCGUAGAUAUAGGAAGGAACACCAGUGGCGAAGGCGACUACCUGGACUGAUACUGACACUGAGGUGCGAAAGCGUGGGGAGCAAACAGGAUUAGAAACCCGUGUAGUCC